ACUAAAACUUGAGGUUGGGAAACUCUGGUGAGAUUCCGGGACUGUGCCGCAGCUGUAAUAAAAACUCAAAAGAGUUUUUGAGUCAGAAUGCCAACUUCAAG
rnacentral:ncRNA from 2 species